rnacentral:rRNA from 1 species
UGGACAGAUACUGACACUCAGAUGNGAAAGCGUGGGGAGCAAACAGGAUUAGAUACCGUGGUAGUCCACGCCGUAAACGAUGUCUACUUGGAGGUUGUGGCCUUGAGCCGUGGCUUUSGGAGCUAACGCGUUAAGUAGACCGCCUGGGGAGUACGGUCGCAAGAUUAAAACUCAAAUGAAUUGACGGGGGCCCGCACAAGCGGUGGAGCAUGUGGUUUAAUUCGAUGCAACGCGAAGAACCUUACCUACUCUUGACAUCCAGAGAASYUUCCAGAGAUNSANNNGUGCCUUCGGGAACUCUGAGACAGGUGCUGCAUGGCUGUCGUCAGCUCGUGUUGUGAAAUGUUGGGUUAAGUCCCGCAACGAGCGCAACCCUUAUCCUUGUUUGCCAGCACUUCGGGUGGGAACUCCAGGGAGACUGCCGGUGAUAAACCGGAGGAAGGUGGGGACGACGUCAAGUCAUCAUGGCCCUUACGAGUAGGGCUACACACGUGCUACAAUGGGGCAUACAGAGGGCRGCCAACUUGCGAAAGUGAGCGAAUCCCAAAAAGUGCGUCGUAGUCCGGAUUGGAGUCUGCAACUYGACUCCAUGAAGUCGGAAUCGCUAGUAAUCGUGGAUCAGAAUGCCAUGGUGAAUACGUUCCCGGGCSUUGUACACACCGCCCGUCACACCAUGGGAGUGGGCUGCAAAAGAAGU